rnacentral:rRNA from 1 species
UAGGGAAUCUUCCACAAUGGACGCAAGUCUGAUGGAGCAAAGCCGCGUGAGUGAAGAAGGUCUUCGGAUCGUAAAACUCUGUUGUUAGAGAAGAACACGAGUGAGAGUAACUGUUCAUUCGAUGACGGUAUCUAACCAGCAAGUCACGGCUAACUACGUGCCAG